UACGUAGGGGGCAAGCGUUGUCCGGAAUUACUGGGCGUAAAGAGCUCGUCGGUGGUUUGUCGCGUUGUUCGUGAAAACUCACAGCUCAACUGUGGGCGUGCGGGCGAUACGGGCAGACUGGAGUACUGCAGGGGAGACUGGAAUUCCUGGUGUAGCGGUGGAAUGCGCAGAUAUCAGGAGGAACACCGGUGGCGAAGGCGGGUCUCUGGGCAGUAACUGACGCUGAGGAGCGAAAGUGUGGGGAGCGAACAGG
rnacentral:rRNA from 1 species